rnacentral:ncRNA from 1 species
UUAAAGUUUUAUUUUGAUUUGUAUUAUUGAGUGAUUUAUUAUUUAUAUGUAAAUUUUUGUGGGAAUAAUGUAAAAUUUUAAAAAUUAUAAUAUUAUACGCAGUAUAUAGAUUUAAAAGUUCAUGAAAAUGAGAUUUAGGAUUAAGUUUUAGUUUUGGCCCAUCUUGUGCCAGCAGUUGCGGUUAUACAGGAAAAGCAAUCAAUUAUUUUUAAUUUAUAGUUAAAUGUUAUUUUUGUUUUAUAUAAAUAUUUUUAUUAAGUGAAAUUUUUAUUUAAUAUUUUAUAAUUAAAUAUUUAAUUGAAGCUGUGAAAUUUCAGAGAUAAACUAGGAUUAGAUACCCUAUUAUUUGAAAUGUAAAUAAAUAAAAAUUAAGUUAGUAUUAGUUAUGUUCUUUAAAGCUAAAAAAUUUGGCGGUAUUUUAGUCCUUUCAGAGGAACCUGUCCUAUAAUCGAUAGUCCACGAGAGAUUGAACUUAUUUUCAUUAGUUUGUAUAUCGUCGUAGUUGAAUAUUUUAUAAGAAUUUAAAUGUUCAUUAUUAAUUAUAAUUAAUUAAAUCAGAUCAAGGUGCAGCUUAUAAAUAAGGUUGAGAUGGGUUACAAUAAAUUAUAUUUAUUACGGAGUUAUGAUUGAAAUUUAUAAUGAAGGUGGAUUUGAAAGUAAUGAUAAUUAGUCUAUUACUAUGAUUUUGGCUCUAAAAUAUGCACAUAUUGCCCGUCGCUUUCAAAUAAAUUGAAAUAAGUCGUAACAAAGUAGAGGUACUGGAAAGUGUUUCUGGAAUCCA